CUUGGGUGUUAAGGCAGGAAACAGGAGUCCUUGGUAGUGAGAAAUUCCAUUAUCCAAGCAUGAGUUUCAGGAGGCUCAUUCAGCUGAAAGUAGAGAAUCUGAUAGACUCUAGUUGUAAAUUAGUAAUGAAUUGAUUAACAUCUGUCUCCCUUGCUGAUUGUAGGAAUCUUCCUGUCACUGGUAAGUAUUUACCUUUUGCUAGUGUCCUGCAGGCAGCAGGGAAGCCCCUGGCCAAAAGAAGGUACUAAAUGGAAUAAGUCAUUGGAAAAAUAGCAGUCAAGUGAAUGUCUCCGUAGUGUAAAUGAAUGGAGUAAGGAACGGAGUGCUCUCUCAGCCCCAGGCAUCGUCUCAAAUGUUGCCAGUAGCUUUGGCAGAGGGAAGGCAUGGAGGGUUAAAUGGCAUCCUGACAGAUGCUAGUCUUGCCGCUCCGUCCUCACUGCACAUGGUGCCUUCUGGAAUAGCUUAGAAGGCAGAGCUGGAAACCAGAGACCAGCCAGUCUGAGGACAGUCCAACAGAACACCCUGGUGGGUCAGUGAGUGAUCUGCAGUCAUAAGGAAAUCACAGUGUGUUAUGAUUUGUAUAUGAAACGCCAUUCACAGUCCUGUCUCUUACAGGUUCCUGUAUGGAGCACUGAUCUUUAGCAGUGGUGCUGCUUCAGGAAGGAGGUGGUGGAUACUUGGGAGAUGGAACCUGGAUGGAUUCCGAAGUAGGUCUCUUGACAUAUAACUUUAAAGGUGACUCCAGAUAGUUUUGGAAAACUCCAUCUGACUUCUCUACAGAUGGAGGAGAGUAGCUGAAAACACUGACAGAGAAUUUGAAGACGGCUAUGAGUGCCAUCUUUGGAAUUCUGACCUCUUAGAGCCCAGAGAUAACCACAGGCUGGGGACUGCACUUUGUUAGGUAGCUUGAAGACACACCCAAAAGACACACCUACUGUGGAAGGAGGGCAUUGAAUAUGCAGUUUAUUCUUAGAUCAAUCUGAAGCCCUACAUCCUAGGGGUCCUUGAUGGAGGUGAGAGAGAUGGUCAAUGGGGCAGAAAGUGGAACCAAUAGGAGAGCCUGCACUCUACAGCAUCAAGGCCUUGGAGUUGACAUCUUCAUUUGACAAACAUGCUGAAAUGCUGACUUUGAGCAAGGUUAUUGGAUAUGCAGGAUGAUAUUGUCCUUCAGAGAGGAGUACAUAUGGCUCAGGCCGUGGAUGUGGGUGAGUACAUUGUGGCAGAUCAGGAUGCAGAGAAUGAGAACAGAAGCAGGCACAGGCAUCUGCAAAGCCCAUCCUCCAUGACCUCUUUCCAUUAACUAGACCUCAGUAUCUUCCCAAACAACUCUUUGGCUGGGAACUGUGAGUUUCAAACCAUACCACUCUCUACUCUGUGAGUCCAUUCACAGAAGAGGAUAUCUGAGGCUGGGUAAUUUUAUAAAGAAAAGAAAUUUAUUCAUCUCACAGUUCUAUAUGUUUGCUGUUUCUGUGAGAACCCAUUCUGAGAACUAACCCAGCAUUUUUGGGACCUACCUUAAUCCCUUUGGAGUGGAGCUUCUGGCGACUUCCCAUUAAGUCCUACCUCUGAAAAGUACCAUGAGGAACAAUUCGUCAGUACAUCAACCCUGGGAAGACAAACCACAUUUAAACUACUUCCAGGAGUCAGCAAGAUGGCUCAACAGAAAAAGACACAGUGAAGCCUGAUGACCUGAGUUCAAGCCCCUGGCAUCUGCAUGGUAGAAGGAAAGAGCUGACUCCCGAAGGUGGUCCUCUGACCACCACACACCUGCUGUGGCAUGCUUGUCUCCUCCCCACUGAAUGAUUUAAUUCCAGAUGGAAGAAAAGCCAGUGGACCAUCAGGAUCCCUAUUCUCUCUCUAUUAUCUACUGUGUGGCCUACCAUGAUAUGAGCUUGUCUGCUCUGCCACACACUACCCACCGUCAUGAAUGGAACCCACUGAAGUCAUGAAUGAAGUUCCAGAACUGACAUCACAUACCCUUGCCUCAGCCUAGAGGUUUCCCUGCCAGGAGACAGGGCUGGCACCUUCUAAAGAGGGUUCUAGGACUACCCAGGAAUCAACACAGUCUGAAUGGAAGAUCACAGUAUCCAUGAGCAAGGAAAGAUUGUAAGAACUUCCAAAAUAACUCAGGACAAGACAUAGAACAUACUGUUCCAAGUCAUGGAGUGGAGAAAGCUUUCUCAGUGUCUGCCCGGCAGACUGGCAGCAUCCACAUCUCUUUUUGGUGAUAGAACACCAAUACUUUUUGCUACCACAAAUUAUGCAGCCGACUUCCCUGCCUUUGGAGGAGUCACGGGUUAACAUACCUAGAGAGCAAUGGAUGAGCCUCACCUUGGGAAAAUCACCCUUAUGAUCAUGAGAUCUCCCC